rfam:Ovis aries breed Texel chromosome 10, whole genome shotgun sequence.
UCCCUGAUAGCUCAGUUGUUAAAGAAUCCGCCUGCAGUGCAGGAGGCCCAGGUUUGAUUCCUGGGUGGGGAA